CUGGUAUGAAUGGUCUAACUAAAUAAUUUUGUCUUAUAGUAAUAUUUUGAAUUUUAUUUUUUGGUAAAAAAGCCAAAAUUCAUUUUAGGGACGAGAAGACCCUAUCAAGCUUUAUAAAUUAAUCUAUUUCUCCUAAAAUAGACUAAAUUUAUUUCACUGGGGCAGUGGAUGUUUGUAAUUCCAUCUUUAUAUUAUGAAGUUUAAAUCUUGCAAAACCGAAAACUUUUCAAAAAAUAAUUAGUUACUGUAGGGAUAACAGCGUAAUUUUCUUUAAGAGUUCUUAUCAUCAAGAAAGUUUGCGACCUCGAUGUUGGAUUAAAUUUCCUAA
rnacentral:rRNA from 1 species